rnacentral:ncRNA from 2 species
AUAAUGAUACUUCCGUAAUUCGCGGCCCGGCCAUAAGGCAGGCGGGGAGAUGAGAUAUCUAUG